rnacentral:rRNA from 1 species
UACAGAGGGUGCAAGCGUUGUUCGGAAUUACUGGGCGUAAAGCGCGUGUAGGCGGUUCGGUAAGUCAGAUGUGAAAGCCCUAGGCUUAACCAAGGAACUGCAUUUGAAACUGUCAAACUUGAGUGUCGGAGGGGGUGGCGGAAUUCCCGGUGUAGAGGUGAAAUUCGUAGAUAUCGGGAGGAACACCCGUGGCGAAGGCGGCCACCUGGAAGACAACUGACGCUGAGACGCGAAAGCGUGGGGAGCGAACAGG